ACCUCGGUCGGGAUGAGAGUGGCGCACGGGUGCGUAACACGUAUGAUAACCUACCCUUGUCAGGGGGAUAGCCUCUCGAAAGAGAGAUUAAGCCCGCAUAAUAUGGAGACACAGCAUUGUGAUUUCAUCAAAUAUUUAUAGGACGAGGAUGGGCAUGCGGAACAUUAGCUAGUUGGCGGGGUAACGGCUCACCAAGGCAACGAUGUUUAGGGGAUCUGAGAGGAUGACCCCCCACACUGGUACUGAGACACGGACCAGACUCCUACGGGAGGCAGCAGUAAGGAAUAUUGGUCAAUGGGCGCAAGCCUGAACCAGCCAUGCCGCGUGCAGGAAGACGGCCCUACGGGUUGUAAACUGCUUUUGCAGGGGAAUAAACCUCCCGACGAGUCGGGAGCUGAAUGUACUCUGAGAAUAAGGAUCGGCUAACUCCGUGCCAGCAGCCGCGGUAAUACGGAGGAUCCGAGCGUUAUCCGGAUUUAUUGGGUUUAAAGGGUGCGUAGGCGGCCUUGUAAGUCAGGGGUGAAAGACGGUAGCUCAACUAUCGCAGUGCCUUUGAUACUGCAGGGCUUGAAUGUACUUGAGGCAGGCGGAAUGUGACAAGUAGCGGUGAAAUGCAUAGAUAUGUCACAGAACACCAAUUGCGAAGGCAGCUUGCUAAAGUAAGAUUGACGCUGAGGCACGAAAGCGUGGGGAUCAAACAGGAUUAGAUACCCUGGUAGUCCACGCCCUAAACGAUGAAUACUCGAUGUUGGCGAUAUACAGUCAGCGUCAAAGCGAAAGCGUUAAGUAUUCCACCUGGGGAGUACGCCCGCAAGGGUG
rnacentral:rRNA from 1 species